rnacentral:rRNA from 1 species
UACGUAUGGUGCAAGCGUUAUCCGGAUUUACUGGGUGUAAAGGGAGCGCAGGCGGCACGGCAAGCCUGAUGUGAAAGCCCGCGGCCCAACCGCGGGACUGCAUUGGGAACUACCGGGCUGGAGUGCCGGAGAGGUAGGCGGAAUUCCUAGUGUAGCGGUGAAAUGCGUAGGUAUUAGGAGGAACACCAGUGGCGAAGGCGGCCUACUGGACGGUGACUGACGCUGAGGCUCGAAAGCGUGGGGAGCAAACAGG